rnacentral:tRNA from 1 species
GCAGUGGUGGUUCAGGGGUAGAAUUCUCGCCUUCGAUGCGGGAGACCUGGGUUCCAGUCCCAGCCAAAGCA